rnacentral:rRNA from 1 species
UUGGAGGGCAAGUCUGGUGCCAGCAUGCCGCGGUAAUUCCAGCUCCAAUAGCGUAUAUUAAAGUUGUUGCAGUUAAAAAGCUCGUAGUUGAACUUCGGGGUUUACCCAUUGGUCAGGUUUAAUUGUCUGUACUGGUGAGAUAAAUCUCUACCUUCUGAGGAACUUUCAUGUCAUUAAUUUGGUGUGAUUGGAAAUCAGGACUGUUACUUUGAAAAAAUUAGAGUGUUUAAAGCAGGCUAACGUCUGAAUACAUUAGCAUGGAAUAAUGAAAUAGGACGGACUGAUUCUAUUUCGUUGGUUUCUAGGAUCACCGUAAUGAUUAAUAGGGAUAGUUGGGGGCAUUAGUAUUCAAUUGUCAGAGGUGAAAUUCUUGGAUUUAUUGAAGACUAACUACUGCGAAAGCAUUUGCCAAGGAUGUUUUCAUUAAUCAAGAACGAAAGUUAGGGGAUCGAAGACGAUCAGAUACCGUCGUAGUCUUAACCAUAAACUAUGCCGACUAGGGAUCGGACGAAGUUAAUUUUAUAAUGACGCGUUCGGCGCCUUACGGGAAAA